rnacentral:lncRNA from 1 species
GGAAGCCAAUUUUUGAGAAAUUGUUUUGGACAUAUUAUGUUUUAAUCUAUUAUAACUAUAAUUAUGUAGGCCAAAUGGUAGAUUAUUAGCAAUUUUUUUCUAUAAUGUGUGACCAUUCAUAAUUAUAUCUAUGUAAUGAAUUGAUAUAGAUUAUUUAAGAGUAUCAAUUGAUAGGUAAAUUAAUCAAUUGAUCCAAGAGUCUUAUGUAUAGAAAACAAAU